CAGCCAUUUCAACAUGGCAGCUGACAGUGGAGCGAUGAGUGAACUUAUUUGAAGAAAUUGUCGUGAUUCGUGAAUCGGUAUGGCUGUCCGCAAAAAGACUUCGCAUUUAUAUAGAGAAAUACUUUCAGCUUUACGGGCGGCGAAUCAUCAGUCGACCAGUAACCACGUGGAACAGGUUUCGAACUACAGAAACACGUACGGUUAUUCGUAUAUUAACUUGGUGUGUGAAAAUAAAAAUCUUUGCAAAGAUCAAAAUGCAUCUGGUCAUCUCCAAUACUUGGGAGAGACAUAUUUAUGUCUUUUGAAUAGCGUAAGAGCAGCGAAGGUAUUAUAUGACAGGUAUAAAGGUGGAGAGGACUCGGUUGAGAAGAUUGCCACUAAAGUAGGAUUCAAACUGCCUCCCACAAUAAAUUAUGAGUGAGUACUGUAUGUCAUAAUCUGAAAAUAGGCAUAUGAAUACUCCAGCUGUCCAGUCUUCAGUCUGCUGACCAGUGGUGAAAAGGAUGCUAAUAGGUACAUUAUUUAAAAUUAUCUAUUGGCUUGAAAAACUGGACUACUUGUCAUGUUGGUUUGUUAUAUAGUGUAGGUAGAGUAAAAAGAAUUUAGAUCAAAUUAAAAACAUUUAAGGUUCAAUAGAAAAUGCAAGUCUUCACCCUUUGGGCAAGUUCUUUGUGUGAGGCCCUUAUUUUUUUUCGGCUGCGCAGUUUGCAGAUAAUGUACCAGUCUUCUUUCAUGAUCAUGGAAAUCUACCAAAAUUUCAAAGUUUGUUAAGUACUCUGAUUUCAGCAAUAACAGAAACGGAUUGAAUUAGCUGGAAAGUAACAGAAUAUAAGCUGUUUAUGGCCCUAUAUAUAGAAUUUGUAUGUCAAGUGUUUUGGCUCAUAACUUCAUCCAUUCAUGAUUCAUUUCUUUACCUUGAAUUAUGUUCUUUUAUAACUGCAAGAUUCUGAGAUAUUUUUUCCUUGUGAUUUUAUAUGAGAUAACCACAUUCAAUCAGGUACAAAACUUGUCGCACAAUUAAUGAGAGCAUUUUGUUUUGGCCUUGGAAAGAUUUUUGUGACUUGAAGCAGCCCAAACAUAGUUGAGCUACUGUGGCCUGGCUAAUAUAAACAGCCCUCUCAGUUUUUACCUAAUUAGGUAAUUGAAAUUAGAUAAUGUGAAACACCUAGGUCUACAUUCCCAUAAGUUCACAGCCAGCCACUCAAUGUACGUGACAUAAAAAUUGUGUUUUUGUUUAUUGAUAAGAGCUAGAGCCUUUCCCCAGUCAACGAGCUUAUGUUUUCUCAAAACACAGGCACUAUAAAGGCAUUGGAAUAAUAUGACGGCAAUAUUAUCGGAGUUAACUGCAAUUGUCUAGUAUAGUUUGAAGUUAUUUGGAGACAUAUAGGUUAGCUGUUCAAAGAAAAUACGAAAACUAUUCAAAACUCGUAUUAUAUGACAUAGGAUUUGUACGAUUACAGUAUAUAAUUAGCUACUUUGACGUUGUUUCCAAAGAGUUGAUGAUUGCGAUGAAUGUGUUUAAUCGGUUGUUGACGUUCGUUCCAUAAACGACGUUCGUUGUGCGUCAAACGGAAAAGGUCAGGCGGAAAAAAAAUUGCGAUAAAGAAAAUGAAGUAAAAAUGUUCGUGAUAUUUUGAAACCCGGAUGCAGGAUGAUCUUAAUUUCUUGCAUAUUUUGAAGCUCGUUAACUCGGUUUUUUUAACGAAUUGCAAUGAAUGGGCGUCCCUUCCUGCCUGGCCAUUCCAGCCUUAUUCCCAUGCAAUGACUUUCGGUAUAAACUUGUAAAUUCGUAUUUUAUUAUAAGCCACCUGAUUCGAGAGUUCAAUGCGCUUCUGGCGUUCGUUUUAACGAAUCGAAUACCGGAUACACACCUUCCUUAUACACACCAAUCAUGUUAUAUGGAAGCAGGAAACACUUCAAUUUUGUGACUCUUCCGCACACGGAUAUAUACCAGUCGUGCAAGCAUGGGAACAUUGCUUGGACAAAAGGUAUUAUCAGGAAUUAGCCUGUCGCAUGAGUCAAUUUACGUAGGUCUUGAACAAAGAAAGACCUUAUUAGCAUCACGUCUCAUCAAAAUUUUUAGAUGUUUCACAUCAUUACAAAAUAAAGAAUCUUU